AGCCUCUGACCCUGCGCGGCUCCGCGCGCAUCCAGCCCGCGCACAGCCCGCCCUCCGCAUCCCCGCAUCCUCCUCCUCCUCCUCCUCCCAUCCUUCUUCCCUUCAUCCUCUCCCCAGCCCGCCCUCCGCAUCCCCGCAUCCUCCUCCUCCUCGUCAUCCUCCUUCCCUUCAUCCUCUCCCCAGCAUCCCUCGCUCAUCUUCCUCCUCCUCCCAUCCUCCUUCCCUUCAUCCUCUCCCCAGCAUCCCUCGCUCAUCUUCCUCCUCCUCCCAUCCUCCUUCCCUUCAUCCUCUCCCCAGCAUCCUUCGCUCAUCCUCCUCCUCCUCCCAUCCUCCUCCCCUCAUCAUCUUCCUCCUCAUCUUCCUCUCCCCAGCAUCCUCCCCCGGGGCUCCAUCCCUCCUCCUCCUCCUCCUCCUCCUCCUCCUCGCAGGGGCCCGAGCUCCCACAGAGCCAAGCAGGAGGGGCCCAGGGGAGGUCAGACACCCCCACCUUUCCCAUAUCCCAUUCCAUCCCAUCCCGGUUUUAUCGCAUCCGGUUUUAUUUGAAGUUUUCCAGGUGCUUUGAUCCCCCCCGAGCCCCCCAGCACUGCCGGGACGCAGAGGGGCACAGCCCCUUCCAGCCGGGAAGAAAUUCCCCGGGAGAAGCCACAAAGCUCAGCCCUGAUCCAGAACCGGCGGCGAGCAGGAAAUGGGUCCCGGGAUGGGGGAAAAUGACCGGGAAUGAUGGAAGAGUUUGGGUGGGAAGGGAGCUGCUGAUGCUCCCGGGGGCCAGGCUGGAUCCAGGGCUGCUCCAGGACUGCUGCCGUCAGCUCCACAGAAAUCUUGGAUUGUCACCUUUUAGCCAUGUGAUCGAGCCCAGCCACACCUCUUGUUUACCCAGUAUCCCUUCACCUUCCUCGGAACUGACUCCCAAGGAUUUUUCUUGCCUUUGCUUUUCUAUUCCAGCUUUUUUGUUGUUUUCUUUCUGUCAUUAAAUUAAUUUAGUUUCUCACUCUUCUGUUUCCUAUUCCAAAUCUCUCCUG
rnacentral:lncRNA from 1 species